GAUUGCCCCGCGCAAGAUUAGCUUGUUGGUGAGGUAAAAGCUCACCAAGGCUUCGAUCUUUAGCUGGUUUGAGAGGACGAUCAGCCACACUGGGACUGAGACACGGCCCAGACUCCUACGGGAGGCAGCAGUAGGGAAUAUUGGACAAUGGGGGCAACCCUGAUCCAGCAAUGCAGCGUGAGUGACGAAGGCCUUAGGGUUGUAAAACUCUUUCAUCGGUGAGGAUAAUGACAGUAGCCGAAGAAGAAGGACCGGCUAAUUCCGUGCCAGCAGCCGCGGUAAUACGGAAGGUCCUAGCGUUGUUCGGAAUUACUGGGCGUAAAGCGCAUGUAGGCGGAACAGAAAGUUAGAAGUGAAAUCCCUGGGCUCAACCUAGGAAUUGCUUUUAAAACUUCUGUUCUGGAAUUCAGGAGAGGAAAAUGGAAUUUCCAGUGUAGAGGUGAAAUUCGUAGAUAUUGGAAGGAACACCAGUGGCGAAGGCGAUUUUCUGGACUGAUAUUGACGCUGAGAUGCGAAGGCAUGGGUAGCAAACGGGAUUAGAUACCCCGGUAGUCCAUGCAGUAAACGAUGGGUGCUAGUCGUCGGACUUUUGUUCGGUGUCGUAGCUAACGCGUUAAGCACCCCGCCUGGGGAGUACGGUCGCAAGAUUAAAACUCAAAUAAAUUGACGGGGACCCGCACAAGCAGUGGAGCAUGUGGUUUAAUUCGACGCAACGCGAAGAACCUUACCAGCGUUUGACAUGGAAAGUGCCGGUUACAGAAUGGUAACCUUCAGUUCGGCUGGCUUUCACACAGGUGCUGCAUGGCUGUCGU
rnacentral:rRNA from 1 species